GAUGAACGCUGGCGGCGUGCCUAAUACAUGCAAGUCGAGCGAACGGACGAGAAGCUUGCUUCUCUGAUGUUAGCGGCGGACGGGUGAGUAACACGUGGAUAACCUACCUAUAAGACUGGGAUAACUUCGGGAAACCGUAGCUAAUACCGGAUAAUAUUUUGAAUCGCAUGGUUCAAAAGUGAAAGACGGUCUUGCUGUCACUUAUAGAUUGAUCCGCGCUGCAUUAGCUAGUUGGUAAGGUAACGGCUUACCAAGGCAACGAUGCAUAGCCGACCUGAGAGGGUGAUCGGCCACACUGGAACUGAGACACGGUCCAGACUCCUACGGGAGGCAGCAGUAGGGAAUCUUCCGCAAUGGGCGAAAGCCUGACGGAGCAACGCCGCGUGAGUGAUGAAGGUCUUCGGAUCGUAAAACUCUGUUAUUAGGGAAGAACAUAUGUGUAAGUAACUGUGCACAUCUUGACGGUACCUAAUCAGAAAGCCACGGCUAACUACGUG
rnacentral:rRNA from 1 species